UUGUUUAAAAAUAGUAUUAUCAAAAGUAGGCGUGAGAUAGUUGUACCAAACGAUAAUCCGACUACUCAAAAAUACUACUAUAAUACCGCAGAAUAGAGAUAACUGUUAUCAACGCAACUAACGAGUAUUGUAUCAAAAAAAUCUACAUGCUUUUUCUAAUUUUUUUAACGUAUUAAUCCAAAAAAUGGUCAUUUAUAACUCAAGCCGUUCGUACCAAGCAUCAGAGAAUUAUUUAUUUUGUUGUUCUUAUCAUAAUCGUAAUUGGUUUUAUCGCUAAUAGUAAAAUGGCCGAAAAAAAAGUGUUUUGUUAAAAGUUGUGAACGAUCUAACAAUAUGUUCAUGAUUCCAAUGAAAAACAAGCAUUUCUUUAGUUGGAAAAGAGUGCAAGCAUUACGUUGAAUGAACUAAGAUGAGUGCUAUACAAAUACAUCUAUGUAGUUUUCAAUUGAAUGAAGAUGAUAUAGUUCAAAAAUCUAACCUAAACUCGGAAAUAGUUUUUUUCGGUGUUUUUCCAUAUGGUCUAGAAAGUAGAUUAUUUUGAUAUAAGUUUACCAGCCACUCCAUUAUGUCACGAUGUAUUUAUAAGUCGGUUGUUGAUGUAUACUGAUUCAUCUGCGUUUAACAUUCCAUUGAGGUUGGCAAUUUGGCUAUAACUGUAACUCUUUUUAUGUUGUACCAGACUAAUGCAGAAAUGCCAUACCAAUUAACCAAACCCUGACAAUAUUAUGACUGAAACAUUUGAGAUGUAUUGGAAAUGUUAAAUAUUGCUAUCUAACCAAUUUCAACUUCUACCUUUUAAAAAUUACAACAAUUUAAAGUCAACAUCGAUUAUUUUUGGAUAUUCAUUUGGCAAUUACCAAAAUAGUUAUCAUUUAUGAUUCUAAUCAUUUAAAAUCCUCACAAUAAUGCACACGCUAUUUCAAGUGUUCAUUGUAUUAGUCAAGUAAAUAAGUUUGUGAUAUAUUGUUUUAUGACAAGGAUUUUGGUUGAACAAUGAAUUACCUAUGUGGUCAAGAGAAAUAUGAUGUCAAUUAAAUUAAAUGUUGGACCUGGUAAGCGAUGAAAACUCACUAAUUUUAAUUGACAAAUAUGGGAUUAUAUAUAAUCAUUUGUUUCUAAAUAACUAUUAAAAUAAGGUUAUUUAUUCUAAUGACAAAGCAGUUGGAGAACUAUGAGACUUCUAAAAUUGGUUGGUACCUAUUGAAAAAAAAAAAUUAAUUGGUCAUAUCAGUAUUUGGCAUCCAUCAAAGUGAAAUCUCUAUUUCUAGUUUAAAUAUUAAAGGAUAUUAUGAAGAAAUGAAUAGUCACACAUAGGACAAAAAUUGGUGCAAGGCUUAAAAUAGCAGUUCCCAAACCAUGAGUUUCAAAUAUUUAAUUUGGGAA